rnacentral:lncRNA from 1 species
AGUCAAUUCUGAGACUGAAGGCAAAUUUAAUUUUCCCAACCCACUUUUUAUACCAUUUUAAUUACAUGCAAGUAUUAAGGGUGAGCAGUACAAUAAGGAACUAAAGUCCCGUGAUUACUCCCAUGACAGCUGUUUAAAAGGGCUUGUCAUAAUGACCAAAAUACUUGAGCCCACUUCCCAGUCCAAGCCCAAAAUCUUGCCUGAAGCCUACUUCUUUUGUUGCACCCUAAGAUUAAAUUUCCUGCCUUCACCUACUUCCCUAUUAUAGCCUAAAGAUAGAUUCUUGCUGAAACUUACUUCCUUAUCAUGCCCAGAUGUCAGAUUCCUGCCUGAGCUUAUGUCCCUGUCCCAGUGUCAGAUUCCUGCCUGAAGCCCAUUUCCUUGUCCUUGGCCAAUGUCAGACUCCUGCCAAGUGGCACCCCAAAAGACUCUCCACACCCUCCUCCCCCUCCUAUCCUCCUCCCCUUCCUUCUCUCCUUCCCCCUCCACCCCAUCCUGCACAGCAUUUAUUUGUUGUCAGUUGUAAACUUCAAAGCUGCUUUGACAUGUAUUGUUCUAAAUGCUAGGGAUAAUGAACACUUUUUUGAGACAUUUUGUAGUCGUUUUUAUUUCUUCUUUUGGGAACUCUCUGUUCAGCUCGAUAGUCUUUUGGAAUGAUGGGCUUGUUUUCUUGACUCUGUGUUUUGAGGGGUUUUUUUCUUGCUUGUUUGUUUUGUUAAGAUUUAUUAUUUUAUGUAUGUAUGUAUGUAUGUAUGUAUGUAUGUAUGUAUACAAGUACACUGUCUUCAGACACACCAGAAUAGGGCAUUGGAUCUCAUUACAGAGAUUUGUGAGCCACCAUGUGCUUGCUUGGAAUUGAACUCAGGACCUCUUAGAAGAGCAGCCAGUGACCUUAACCGCCGACCCAACUCUCCAUCCCUCGAUAUCAAUCCUCUAUCAGAUCUACAGCUGGCAUGGAUUCACUCUUGCUUUUUGGACUUUCACUUCAAUCUGAUGUUUCCUUCGGUGUGCAGAAACUUCUAAGUUCUAUGAGGUCCCAUUUGCCAACUGUUAGACCUAUUUCCUGGGCAAAUGGAGUCCUAUUCAGACAGCCCUUUCCCACUUCAAUAUCUUGUAGGGUACUGCCCGCGUUUUCUUCUAACAGUCUCUGUGUUUUAGGUUUUACAUGGAGGUCUUUGAUUCAUCUGGAGUUAAUUUCUGUGUGGGGUGAUAGAUACAGGUCUAAUUUCAUCCUAUUACAUGUGGCUUCCCCAGCAGCAUUUGUUAAGAUUCUGUCUUCUCUGCAGGGUAUGAUUUUUUUUAUAUAUCUUUGUGAAAUAUCAGAUGGCUAUAUUUAUAAUGUGUACACACACUGGGGUCUUCUACUUUGCUCCAGUGGUCCGCAUGUCCAUUUUUGUGCCAGUGCCAAAUUGUUUGUAUUACUAUGGCUCUGUGGUAUAUCUUCACUACCACACCAUUUGUAUUACAGUGGCUCUAUAAUAUGUCUCAAAAUCUGUAAUCAUUCCUCCAGCAUUGUCCUUUUUGCUCUGGGCUGCUUUGGCUUAUCCAGGCUCUUUUAUGGCUCCAAAUGAAUUUUAGGAUACUUUUUCCCGAUUUCUGGGAGGGAUGAGAUGGGGAUUUUGAUUGGGUUUGUACUGAAUCUGUAAAUAGCUUUUGGUUGUAUGGUCAUUUUCACAAUAUUAAUUCUUCCAAUCCAUAAGUAUGAGAUAUCUUUUCAUCUCCAUUUUCUGGUGUCUUUGUCAAUCCCUCUCUUCAGAGCUUUUAAAGUUUUCAUAGUAGAGGUCUUCCCAGCUCCUUGGUUCAGUUUGUUUCUAGAUGUUUUCUUUUCUUUGAGACUAUCGUGAAUGAGAAUGUGCCCUCAGUCCUUUUCUCAGCAUGUUGGCUGGCAGAUAGAAAAGCUACUAAUGUUUCCAAGUUGAUUCUGUAUCCUGAUACUUUGCUCAAAUUGUUUCUAGAAAUGUCCUGGUAGACUUUUGGCCAUCUCUCAUCUACAUUAUCAUAUCAUCUGUGUGCAGGCUGGUUUUAUGUCUACUUCACUGAGAAGUCAUUUGAGAAGAGGGAGCCUCCGCUGAGAAAAUAUCUCCAGGAGACCGGGCAGUAGGCAAGCUGAUAGAACAUUUUCUUAAUUCGUAAUCAAUGGGAGAAAGCCCACCCCACUGUGGGUGAUAGCACCUGGGCACGUGGUCCUGGGUUCUUUAAGAAUGCAGGCUCAGUAGUCCAUAAGGAGCAAACUCCUCCAUGGCCUCUGCAUCGGGUUCCUGCCAGGUUGGAGUUCUGGCCUUGGCUUCCUUCAGUGGGCUUUUGAUUCAGGAGAGGUAAGCUAAAUAAACCCUUUCCUCUCCACGUUGCUCUGGGUUAUGGUGUCUCAUCACAGCAGUUGUGAUCCUAACGAAAGCAGAAACUGGUACGAGGUUCGUGGGCUAUUGCUGUGACAGACUUGAAUGUCUCACGGAGGAUGUGGAAGGACUUUGAGUGCUCACAUUGGUAAGCUGGCGUGAGAACUUGGAAGAUAUAAGAGGAUAAAGAUGAGAGCAGGCUAGAUGGAGGAGGUCUGGAUUGUGAAAUGUCCAAGGGAAGCAAAGACUCUUAUCCGGGCCACUGUAUAUUUUGAAUUAAGAAUCUAUGGUGUGGGUCAGCUGGGCCUGAGAACUGCGGUUAACAAAAGCAGCACCAAUGACAUAGCCCUGGCUUUACUGGGACAAUUGAGGCUGAUCGGCUGGAGCUGAGACGUUACUGGUGACUAAGAAGAGACCAGCAUUGGGGCUGGAAAGACAUCUCUGCUCUUCCAGAGGGUCUGGCUUCAUUUCCCAGCUCCCACAUCAGGUGGCUCGAAACCUUCUGGAACUCGUUUCAAGGGAUCUGAUUCCCUCUGACAUUGACCAGCACCUGCAUACAUGUGGUGCACAGCACGCACGGCACGUACGGCACGCACGGCACGCACAGCCCGCACAGCACGCACAGCACACAGACCAGGAUCAAUGAUGUGAAAUCUGGGAAGACUUCCUCAGGGUCAGCACACACAGAAAGCUGUGCUCCAGAGGCAGCCAAGUGCUGGUAGUCAAACCUGGUUCUGUAAAAGCCUCCCAGGUGAUACAGGUUUUGAAGGCACGAAGGGGUCAUGGAGAGCAGCUAAAGUCCGGAAGAGAGCCCAGGAGAGGCUGUUGAUGCAAGUGCAGCCCACCUGCAACAGAAGAAUCCCUCAGAUCUUGGAGACACAAUAGCAUGGCAUGACCACUAAGAACAGUAACACCUUGACACAGAGCCAGCCUAAGCCUGGGAGACACGGGGUGCUGUGGAGAGAAGGAGCUGAGAAGUGACCCAGACCCUUUGGAAGAGAUCAGAACACCAAAAGUGACUCCCAGGCAUUGGGUGAUUAAGUUAUUGACUCUGUUGCUGCCUCCUGGAUGCUGGGAUUAGAGGCGCACAGCACCACACCCAGCCUUUUGAUUUUUUUUUUCCUUUCUUCUCCUGGUUUAUAUGUAUUUAUUUUAUUUAUUCAGUGCCAACUUGCACAGAGGACUACACCACCAUCACGUGUACAAACCAGAAACGGCACCUGGCACCCGCUGUCACCAGAUUUAUUUAAAGCUGAAGAAGACACUACAAGAGGAUUUCUUGCCUUUGUAGUGGCCACAGAGCUCCUGGCGAUGUGACCUCCAGAGACCAACGUGUCUUUUCUUUUGAGAACAGGAACAACAGAAUCUUAAGCAGGUCUGACAUUGGAUUGCUUCCACUCGACAAUGGGCCACAGUGCAAAUUACAUGUCAUGCGUUGCCUAAUGACAGCAAGUCU